AUCAUUUCCGGGUUUAUCGGAAAUGAUCCUUCUUUUCGGAAAUGACACUUUGCUUGGAAAUGAUACUUCGAGGGCGAAUAUUUUACCAAGUCCUUGCCUCGGGUGACUCAUGAUCUCUCCUUGGGCGAUUCGGAAGCUGACUGGCGUUUGGCUCGGAUAUCGGAGAGACGCGAGCCGGGCUUCCGAAGAGAAUUGGCUCGGGUAUCAACAAAGAAUAGUUCGGAGAUAACCGGCUCGGGAAUCCGGAGAUAACUGGCUCGGGUAUUCGAAGGGAGCCGGCUCGGGUUCCCGAGCUUGCUAGCAGAUACCCG
rnacentral:lncRNA from 1 species